rnacentral:lncRNA from 1 species
CAGGGCUGGGCGGCGGGGGGCUGAGCCAGCCCCCGGGGCCUAACUUCGGCCGGACGUGCUGGCUCUGAUGCGCGGAGGGGCUCAGACCACCCUCUGUCCCCGCAUCGCGGACCUAAGGGCCUCAGACUUUGUAGGGGACACGGAAUCCCCAUGAUCCUGGUGAACGAACCCGAAACGUCCCACAGCGCCCCCUGGCGCCCCCUAGGGAAGGCUAGACUCCCGCCGCGGCCCUGCUGACCACGCCCCGCGAGGAGGAAGGAUCAGUCCCCGCCGCGGGGAGCUCAGGCCGAGGGGAGUCCGGGAUGCCCACGGACUUCUCGGGUCUCCAGCCGCGCUGCCAGAGCCUUGGUGGCAAACCUCGUGCUCGACUUCGUGUCCAGAUCCUCGGUGGCCCCCAGCGUUGGAAAAACUGGGGUCUCACUGCUGUGCGGUCCGGAAGGAAGGGCGGAUCCAGCCCCAGUUCCUGCAGCAGCCAAGACUCUGCCGCUGAUGUGAGCUCCCCACUGCUACCCCUGGGUGCACAGUCCUAGAAGAUGGUUGAACAGACAGCACAUGAUUAGUGGACAGAUGUGGAGUUGAAGAGAUAAAUAAAUGCCUCACUUUCCAGCAUGAAAUGAUAGAAAUGGAUGGAAGAAGAGAUAAUGAAGAGAUGGAUGGAUGGAUGCCCAUACUAGAGAAAUGGUGCGGU